AGUGAACGCUGGCGGUAGGCCUAACACAUGCAAGUCGAACGGCAGCACAGUAAGAGCUUGCUCUUACGGGUGGCGAGUGGCGGACGGGUGAGGAAUACAUCGGAAUCUACUUUUUCGUGGGGGAUAACGUAGGGAAACUUACGCUAAUACCGCAUACGACCUACGGGUGAAAGCAGGGGAUCUUCGGACCUUGCGCGAUUGAAUGAGCCGAUGUCGGAUUAGCUAGUUGGCGGGGUAAAGGCCCACCAAGGCGACGAUCCGUAGCUGGUCUGAGAGGAUGGUCGGCCACACUGGAACUGGGCCACGGUCCAGACUCCUACGGGAGGCAGCAGUGGGGAAUAUUGGACAACAGGCGCAAGCCUUAUCCAGCCAUACCGCGUGGGUGAAGAAGGCCUUCGGGUUGUAAAGACCUUUUUUUGGGAAAGAAAAGCAGCAGGUUAAUACCCCGCUGUUCUGACGGUACCCAAAGAAUAAGCACCGGCUAACUUCGUG
rnacentral:rRNA from 1 species